GGUAAAUCGGUUUAAUUUAUGUUGAAUGUUCGAAGUGUAGGCUUGGGGAUAAUGAGUCAACUACGUCUUUGUUCCAGUAUCUAUACAAAUUAAGAUCUAAAAAGUUUGCCUUUUCUGUGUUUUUCGUAUAAUAUUGACAAUAAAGUAUACGAGAAAGAAGAAAAUCUAUUGAAAAAAGAUACUGAAAUCUACUUUACAACAGUCUGGAACAAUUGGAUUCAAGAACACAGAUCAUUAUUACCGCCAAGAAACAAUAGUGGCUACGUGUACAUGUGCCUGAGAGAUAUGGCUUAAAUAAACUGAAUGGUGUUACAAUUUUACAUGGUUGUUUAUCUAAGAUGAACACUGACAUAUGAAAUUGGUCGUUGUACAUCUUGUAGAGCAACUACAGGGAUACUGAGAUUGGAUGUAAUAAGCAGCAACAUUUUACCAAUAUCUAUAAAUCUAUGUAAAAUAAUGUGGAA